rnacentral:rRNA from 1 species
UACGUAGGGGGCAAGCGUUGUCCGGAUUUAUUGGGCGUAAAGAGCGUGUAGGCGGUUUGGUAGGUCCGCUGUGAAAACUCGAGGCUCAACCUCGAGACGCCGGUGGAAACCAUCAGGCUAGAGUCCGGAAGAGGAGAGUGGAAUUCCUGGUGUAGCGGUGAAAUGCGUAGAUAUCAGGAGGAAUACCAGUGGCGAAGGCGGCUUUCUGGGCCUACCCUGACGCUGAGGAGCGAAAGCCAGGGGAGCAAACGGG